UGGUGAGUUGGGGGCAAACCUGAUCCAAAUAGAAAACCUAAAUUAAAUAAUUAACAAAAGUUAAGGAGCAGAAUAAUCAAAGCUACAGUAAAUUAGUCUAAUGCAGAGAGAAACAUAAUAGGGAGAUUCAAAAACUUAAUUUCAGUCUGCACAGAUGGGAUUAACAGAAAUGUGUCUGCCGUCCACUUCACAGCCCUGACUAACCAACGCUGUGGUCUGUUCCAGGCUUCGUUAUGUUCAAAGGGGGGCGCUGUCUUUGCAUCGACCGCGGAGUGAAAGUGGUCAAAAUGGCAGCAAUCAAGGAAGUUUCUGUAAUUUACCCGAGUAACGGCUGUGACAAAGUUGAAGUGAUGUAUGUGAUGGAGAUGACAAUGGUGUGGGUGCUUUUGUUUUGUGGAUGUUUCUCCACCAAAGUUUAAGACUAUUUUGUGUCUCCCUUACCAGUGUUACCCUGAAGGCUCAUAAAGGACAAAGGUGCCUGGACCCCACAUCCAAGCAAGCUCGCCUCAUAAUGC
rnacentral:lncRNA from 1 species